rnacentral:rRNA from 1 species
GCCGAUGCUUAUUCUUCAGGUACACGUCAUUGAUUCCUCCCUGAAAAAAAGAGGUUUACAACCCAUAGGCCGUCAUCCCUCACGCGGUAUUGCUCCGUCAGGCUUUCGCCCAUUGCGGAAAAUUCCC